UACGGGAGGCAGCAGUGGGGAAUAUUGCACAAUGGGCGCAAGCCUGAUGCAGCCAUGCCGCGUGUAUGAAGAAGGCCUUCGGGUUGUAAAGUACUUUCAGUCGUGAGGAAGGUGUUAAGGUUAAUAACCUUAGCAAUUGACGUUAGCGACAGAAGAAGCACCGGCUAACUCCGUGCCAGCAGCCGCGGUAAUACGGAGGGUGCGAGCGUUAAUCGGAAUUACUGGGCUAAAGGGCACGCAGGCGGUUAAUUAAGUUGGAUGUGAAAUCCCCGGGCUUAACCUGGGAAUGGCAUUCAAGACUGGUUAGCUAGAGUCUUGUAGAGGGGGUAGAAUUCCAUGUGUAGCGGUGAAAUGCGUAGAGAUGUGGAGGAAUACCGGUGGCGAAGGCGGCCCCUGGGACAAAGACUGACGCUCAUGUGCGAAAGCGUGGGGAGCAAACGAGGAUUAGAUACC
rnacentral:rRNA from 1 species